rnacentral:rRNA from 1 species
GGGAAUUUUCCGCAAUGGGCGAAAGCCUGACGGAGCAAGACCGCGUGGGGGAGGAAGGCUCUAGGGUUGUAAACCCCUUUUCUUUGGGAAGAAGAACUGACGGUACCAAAGGAAUCAGCCUCGGCUAACUCCGUGCCAGCAGCCGCGGUAAUACGGAGGAGGCAAGCGUUAUCCGGAAUGAUUGGGCGUAAAGCGUCCGCAGGUGGCCAUGUAAGUCUGCUGUCAAAACCCAGGGCUCAACUCUGGUCAGGCAGUGGAAACUACAAAGCUAGAGUCUGGUAGGGGCAAAGGGAAUUCCCGGCGUAGCGGUGAAAUGCGUAGAUUUCGGGAAGAACAUCGGUGGCGAAAGCGCUUUGCUAGACCA